GAUGAAGAACGCAGUGAAAUGCGAUAAGUAAUGUGAAUUGCAGAAUUCAGUGAAUCAUCGAAUCUUUGAACGCACAUUGCGCCCGCCAGUAUUCUGGCGGGCAUGCCUGUCUGAGCGUCAUUUCAACCCUCAUGCCCCUAGGGCGUGGUGUUGGGGAUCGGCCAAAGCCCGCGAGGGACGGCCGGCCCCUAAAUCUAGUGGCGGACCCGUCGUGGCCUCCUCUGCGAAGUAGUGAUAUUCCGCAUCGGAGAGCGAUGAGCCCCUGCCGUUAAACCCCCAACUUUCCAAGGUUGACCUCAGAUCAGGUAGGAAUACCCGCUGAACUUAAGCAUAUCAAUAAGCGGAGA
rnacentral:misc_RNA from 1 species